CCAACCAGGGCAGAACAAUGCAUUCUGGGAGAAGCCUUUCUGGUCACCCUAACAUAGUGUUUCUUGUGAUACUAGGGACUUGUCUGACUGAAAACUCUCUGUUCCUUGUAAUGUAGGUUCACUGGCCACCACACUUCCUCCUUUCUAAAGUAUUAAGCAAAGAGGCCUCCCCCAGGGACCCAAAAACCCAAAUAUCCCAAACUCACACAAAACAACAAAGUGAUCAGAAGCACCCACAACCCAAUGUCCCAACAAGUCCUCAAAUCUUUCAGAGGAUUUUCUCUCUGGAUGCUAGAAUGGAUGCUCUUACGGGCAGAGGCGAGUUUGAAGCAGCACAGUUCUCUUUGUGCUGCAGCACAGUCCAAGCACUCACUGCUGGUGGUACCAGGAGCAUCCAGAGGGCGGCAGGGUGAUAGGUGUUGGGUGCUGGGCAUCAUGGUGGUGAAUGCGGGCACAGGCUCUGGCAGUUGCUGCUGCUGGGGUUUCAAACAAAGUUAAAAUUUUGCAAUUUCAAACUGGGGGGCCUUUCCCUUCCCCCCUUCUCUUACUUCAAAGUCUGGGGAAAGGGGAAUGGUAUAACUAAACAAAGGUAUGGGAACACGUGGUUAGGGAAUAAAGAAAGGGGUGCAAGUUAACAGAAAACAUCUCAACAGGAGUAUUGGGGAGUGUGGCUGUGGGAAAGACAAAGCAGAGGGGUGCUGGUGGGGAAUAUUAACUGAUGGGAAAGCAACAGAAUGGGGUAGGAUUUGGGGAGACACCACAGGUGUCUUGACUUAUCCGUUCGAAGUCUUGUUUGUAGUUCUGAUUGCAGGACGGUGAGUCUUUCUGUGGUGGACAUUGGUGCUGUUUUGCAUCAUCUCUGUUGCCAAGCAGUAGUGGUCUGGUCUUUUGACUGUUCCCUGUUCAUCUUGUUUGGCCUUGUGCCUACAGCAACAGUGUUUGCUGGGCUGGUGCAGGGCUUGUUUUCCUCUGGCAGUUUCCAGGUAUCAUCUGUGGCCUUCGGCUUCUUCACCCCAGUCUUUUGAUCUUCACACUCAGCAUCAGAAUCUGAGAAUUUACUGUUUUGUUUCUUUGGCUACUUUUCUGCUUGCUCUAGCUGCACCUGCAAGCUGGUCAAGUCGACUGCUUCCCUUACGAUGUUUUCGCAGCUGUCUGGGAACAGUCUGAGUCCUACAGCCUGGCUCCUGCUAACCCCCUCUUUCUCUGCUCCUCUUGCAGCACAGGAGCAGAGGGUGUGGCCAGGGUCGACAUGGAAGACACCACGCGGGCGGAGUUCUCACAGCUGGAGGAGCAGAGCGGCAGCAGCCGCGGCUUGGUAGCCUCAGGGCAUUCGCAUGGCAGCAGUGGAGCCAGGAGGGGGGGCGCCAGGGAGAAGCGUCCCUUUAGGAAGUGGCUCCAGCUUGCUGCCAUAGCGGGGAAGGCCAGGUCUACCCGGCCGAGAAUGAGAAUGAACCCCUUUCAACCCUCGCACCACGUGGGCGGCCAGGGUGGGCCGUGGCAAGCGGCUGCGCAGGGCUCGGUCCCAGGCUAGCAGCGUGUCUGGCUUGGGCGUGCCCCCGCUUCGGCGGGGAGAGGCAGCCAGGCAUGAGCCGGCAGGGGGUCGCGGGCGGCUGGGCGGCAGCGGUGAUGAAAAGCGGCUGGGCAUGUGCCCCGUCUAAGCAGCUGCGUAGGAAGGACAGUCCGGCGUCGGUCAGAAGAGCAAAGGGGAAAAAAACCCCUAAACUCAAAUCAAACAUAAAACAUCAGUGAAAGCUUCUUUCUUGACAGCUCAGGAGUGUGAAACCCCAGAAAGAUUAGAAGAACAUUAAAGUUCCCUGUGAUAUCUUCCAUUGGUCUCUUCUGAUCUGAAAAGACCAGUGGGUGUGAUGAAGAUUCCAUCUGUUUCUGGCUUUUCAUAAAAUCAACUCUGGAAAGUAUAAAAUGAGAGAGCUGCCCUAAAACAGGAUGGAGGUGGUGGACUCCUGUGCGUACACAAGGAUUGGGAUAUGCCUGAGCUGGGAUUUCUGUCCCAGGGCUGUUGGCAAACCUGUGCCUUAUGCAGAUUCCAAGUUCUGCAGCAGAAAAUUGACAGUGGAGGUAGGAAUUGUUUCUUUAUUAAGUUACAUUUAUAGAUAUUCCAAAGUUACUUGUAGAUGGACAAUUUUUUCUUGAGUAUACGGGGUACAAUAACCAAGACAGCCACUACUCAUCACUGUUUGUACUGUGGGUGAGGGAAGCUUCAAAGAUGUAAAUGAUGCUAAGAUGUAUAAAAUAAAGGUAUUAAAAAGGGCCUGUGUCCCUCCUUUGGAAAUGAAAAUAACCCCUGGAGUGCUUUGACAGAGAAAAGAAAGUAGGAUUUCUCAGAUUUCAGGGACAAGAAAAAGCAAGAAUACUUGGUAUACACAGCUGUGAAUAUACAAUGUUGUAAACUUUUCAGGAAAUGUGAAAAAUCAGUGUAGGUAGAGAUGACAGGCAGAUGACAUGGACAAUGCAUUAGUCCAAUAUCAACAUAUCAGGGUCUUGAAAUGAUUGACAAAAUCUGAAAAACCUUGAUCUCUGCCCAUAAAAUAUUUCCAGGGGAAGUCCUAGAUGUGUACAGUAACAGGUAAAAAAAGUAUUUCUGUAAAUAAAAGUAUUUGUGAGAUACGUGAAACAAUACACAAGUAUCUUUAUCUCAAAAGUGCUCAGAACUAAAACUGCCCACUCUUCACCUAGACUUCAAGAACUGAAGGAAUAAUUUUUCUCUUAUUUACAGUGGAAUUCAGUAAACUUUGAAACAGCUGCAAGGAAGCUAAGAUUUAAUUCUUCCAGCCUACGCUUGUUCUACAAGUGUGUGAAAAUUAGUUUUCUAGGACUCUCAUGCCAAUGUUUCACAUAAAAAUAAUACUGUAUAAUCUCAGAGGUGUUAGGAAGAACUGAGAAAGCCUUGCAUUUUUAGGCCCUUCCUCAAAGGGUAAAUCACCUCAAAUUUAUUGUAACUGGUUAUAUCCUGAUGUAACAUAUUUUUGUUGGUUUUGUGAAGGUAACAGGCAGAUAAAAUCCUUCUCAAUCUUCUCUAUUGUAUCAGCUCCUCUUAUGCUCAAGUAGGUUGCUAGAAGUCAAGACCAGCAUGACAUCACAACUUUGGAAGUAGAAUCACAUAGCUUGCAGUUUCCACACGUCUAACUAAUAGUAAGUUGGAGUGGGUGAGUGAUUGUGCAAUAGCUGUUAGUGUUUUCUUUUUGAGAAGUGAAGUGGCAUUGAAAGAGAUUAGUUUUCACUUGGUUAUAUAGCCUCUCAUUUCCAUGAAAAUUUUUGUCAAAAAAUAUAUAACUUCUCCUUUGACAGAACAUUACAAUUGUAACUUCCCUUUGGCACAGUAGAAAACUUCCCAUCUUUUACUUAAAAAUAUGUUUCAAGUAUUGCAUCAGCAGAGAUCCAGCAACUGUACUUGUGAAAUGAGAUAAUUCAAAAUUAUUAUUUCCAGCAUGAUAGGUAAAUGUAACAGGUUAGUAAAAAGCCAGUGCUUGUUUGAGCAUCUGUGUUAUAUAUUUCUGAUUCUUGGUCUGUGCUUACCAAUGCUGUCUGAUGUUCCAGGUUCUUGAAGUGGAAGCAAAUGCUAUAACCACAACAAAGAGAACAGCACAGUGGAAGAUUUAAAAUAAACUGCUGAAGCUACAGUCGUCUGGCACUAGUCAAAUUCACAUGAUUAAAAAUCCUCUCCUGCUUUUAUUUCAGCACCUUAGAAGAAACAUUGAAAUGUCCUGCAAAAGCCACUGGCAAUGUAAGAGUAGUUACAGAGAGGAUUCAUGAGAAUAUGUUUUCUCUUGGACAUGAUUCGAAAAUUUAGGCUGCUGUCUCAGUCACUUAAGCUCCUUGAGUGAGACCAUGACCCAGAAAAACAGUCCUAUCUUUCCCCAGUCACAUAUUUCCACUGCUUCUCCUGAGCCAGUAAUAAUGUUAGCACAAUUACAUGGUUAGCUGGGUUAGAGACUAGCUGAAAACUUUGCCCAAUUUAGCUUCAAGCAGAACAGGCUGAUAGAGCUUCCUCUAUGGCCAUACAAAUAAUAAUGUGGGCAGGGGGAAACAGACAUUAUCCUGCAUGUGGGAGAUCAGGACAGCUGGUUUUGUAACAGUGAACACAUGAUUCACAGUGAGUGCCAGAUAGUAUAUCUUGUGGUUUUGAGGAGAUGAAUGUAAAAGUUGGGAAACUAUCAUCGGGGGCAGCAAAAGUUCCCAACUCACAUGCAUCCAGAAGGAAUUGCACACAAGGAUUUUCCUUCCUCUGGUUAUGUACUGGUCCCAGAAAGAGGGACAGUUUUGUAUCUUUCAGUGUUGGCCAUUUUGAAAUACUCUGUGUACCAUUAGUAGGAUCUAGAAGAAGUUCUGUGUAAACUGAGAUUUUCUGUGGUGCAAGUGAAAAUUAGGCUGUUGGAUCUUGUUUACUUUCAGUGGAAAGGAGGCCUUUACCUCCAAAGCUCAGAGUGGCAAAACUCCCUUCUGAAAAGGUCCUUGUAUAUUCAUUCAAGUGUUGCAGUCAUUAGGCCAGAGCAAUUUGACUCAAUCUUUGAGACUGACCCUACCAUGCAGUUUUUACUGAUGCUCUAUUCUGCAGGGGCCCCUGAUACAUUUACUACUGUGAUGGCAUCUGCAAAAUUGUACAUUAAGUUUAAGCAGGAUAUCUUGAAGAGUGAGCACUUGCAGUGAGGCAGUUAACUCAGUGGUUGUAUUUCUGCUUCUUCAAGUGGUUCUUCUGGGAAGUUUUGUUCUGCAAAGCUGGUUUAAGUUUUUUGUUUUGUUUUUGGCACUUUUUAAAACUCGUAUCAAUGGGAUUGUGCAUGAUUAAGGGUAUAGAUCAAACUCAAAGAGUCUGUGAGUCCUAAUGCUCUAGAUGAGUGAUAGAAAAUUUAUUUUGCAUUACAUAACGUAUAAUUUUUUCUCCUUUUGUUUGCUACAUUGUGGCCAGCAGUCUGAUUUAUCCUCAACCUAAAUACUUUGCCAACACAUAUUUGAUUAGAAAUAUUAGCCAUUACCAAGACACAUACUUUAGCUAUGUAGGCAAUUCCACACCAGCUGUGAAGUCUUAAGAUAACUCAGUCUGAACAACUGGGAAAAUUAUGAAACCAAUUAACAGACUCAGACAAAAUACUGUAUUAUCCUUAUGGAUAAACCACCAUAUUAAACAGUGAGUUGUAUCUUUGUCAACUUUCUUUUGGACAAAAACAAUUAAGGUUCAGGUUAUAGACUUCGUAAGCUUGAAUACAUAAUUAGAGUCCGAAGAUUGGAUUUCACUGGUCUUCAGUCUUUAAGGGGCAGCUGCAAACAUCUGACCUGAAUUGCCUAAGCACUCCAAAGAAGGAAGUUUGCUUUGUAAUCUUGUACCAAAUUUUAUAAUUCAUGUAACUCACCCAGUAUUAGAAAUUAUUUUAACUCAGAGAUUACAGAAACGAAAAAGUAUUUUUUGUUGCAUUUUUGCCAUUUAUUGGAAAGGUCAUUUAGAAAUUUUACUAUAAAAUUUGAAGAAAAUGGGCAUAUGCUUAUAGACAGAUAUUCUGUCGUUUGUUAUACAAGAUAUUUUCAUGGUUUUCAAAAUGAAUUUGAGGAGGUCUGUCUUUUCUGUUUGGAGCCAAGCUUAUCUAGGAGGGCUACAAUUUAUCAUCAUAUCUUGUUAAAUACUUUUAUGUUAUUCUUUAGACCUUAACUGCCAAAUUAUGUGACAGUUCAAAGUUCCUGGAAUGUAAAAAUCUGGGUCUCUAAAUCAUUUCUAGUUAAGUAGCUUUAAAGUAAAGGGACACUCAUCACUGAACUAAUCGGUGUUAUAAAAGUGUCACAUGCAUGAGCACAACAGAAGUAUGCUGCAGUAAACCUGGUGAUGCAGUGAGCUGGACCUAAGAAAAUACCUGUUUUAAUGCAUGCAUUUUAUUCCCUGAAGCACUCCCUAAGGGGCAUUUUUUGAGUGACAGCAGAGGACACUUGGGUAAAGUGUUAGCUGAAGAGUUCCAGCAGUGAAGGGUAGCAUUAACUUUGAAUGAAAACCAGCAAGCUUGUUCCUUG